UUAGGAAUAUUCGUCAAUGGAGGAAACUCUGAACGAGCAAUGCCGCGUGAACGAUGACGGCCCUAUGGGUUGUAAAGUUCUGUUGUUUGGAAAGAACGAUAGAUAGAGGAAAUGCUAUCUAUGUGACGGUACCAUUCAAGAAAGCCACGGCUAACUACGUGCCAGCAGCCGCGGUAAUACGUAGGUGGCGAGCGUUAUCCGGAUUUAUUGGGCGUAAAGGGUGCGCAGACGGUUUAUUAAGUCUAAAAUCAAAUCUUGGGGCUCAACCCCAUUCCGUUUUAGAAACUGGUAGACUUGAGUAUGGUAGAGGCAAAUGGAAUUCCUAGUGUAGCGGUGGAAUGCGUAGAUAUUAGGAGGAACACCAGUGGCGAAGGCGAUUUGCUGGGCCAUUACUGACGUUCAGGCACGAAAGCGUGGGGAGCAAAUAGG
rnacentral:rRNA from 1 species